UAAGGCCAACAAUGGAUGCCUAGGUUUGUUUUGCCGAGGAAGGACGCAAGAAGCAGCGAUAUUCGUCGGGGAGGAGCUUCUCUCCCGUGAUCCGACGGUUUCCGAAUGGGGCAACCCUCCCGACUUAGUCGGGAAGCUCAUAGUAAAAGUCCAGAAGACAGAAUACAGAAGACCGAAAAACAGUAACGAACAAUUACUGACAUACCGUUUUCCGUCAUCUGUCUUCUGGAUUAUAGCUGUGAGCAGGUAAGUGGGUGAACUGAAACAUCUCAGUAACCUGAAGAAUAUAAAUCAAAUUCGAGAUUCCGUAAGUAGCGGCGAGCGAAAGCGGAACAGCCUAAACCAACCGCAAGGUUGGGGUUGCAGGGUAGACGAUAUGGGAGUGUGAACGGUAGUGGAACUGCUUGGAAUAGCAGACCAUAGAACGUGAAAGUCGUGUACGCGAAACUGAACACACCUCUAGUUUAUUCCUAAGUACCAUGGGAUACGCGAAAGCCCGUGGGAAUCUGGGUCGGCCACGAUCCAAGGCUAAAUACAAAACAAAACCGAUAGUGAACGAGUACCGUGAGGGAAAGGUGAAAAGCACCCCGCAAGGGGAAUGAAAUAGUACCUGAAAUUGUUGGCUAACAAACAGAGAGAGCCGGAAAACAGAAUACAGAAGAUAGUAAGACAGUAAUGAGCUAUUUGCUGAAUUACCGUUUUCUGUCGUCCGUUUUCCGGUGAUCUCGUGCCUAUUGAAGAAUGAACCGGUGAGUUAUCCUAUACUGCAAGCCUAACGGCGUUAUGUCGGGAGGCGAAGCGAAAGCGAUCUCGAUUUUUAUCGGGAGGGUCCUAAUUGGGCCUUAAGUAGUAUAGGGUAGACCCGAAACUUGGUGAGCUAACCAUGAGCAGGGUGAACUUCGUCGAAAGACGAAGGAAGGCCCGAACUCGUCAGUGUUACAAAACUGUGAGAUGACUUGUGGUUAGGGGUUAUAUGCCUAUCGAACCAAGAGAUAGCUGGUUCUCCCCGAAAUAUAUUUAGGUAUAGCCUUUGUGAAUUACUACUCAGGGGUAGAGCACUGAAUGGGGUUGGUUUCGCAAGGAAUCAACUUCAAUCAAACUCCGAAUACUGGGCAAGUGUACACAGAGAGUCAGAGAUAUACGGCUAAGCGCGUGUCUCUAAAGGGAAACAACCCAGAUUUCCAUCUAAGGUCUCUAAAUAACGGUUAAGUGGUUAAGGAAGUUUAAAACUUAAAACACCCAGGAGGUUGGCUUAGAAGCAGCCAUCCUUUAAAGAUAGCGUAACAGCUCACUGGCCGAAGUUUUAAGCGCCGAAAAUGAUCGAGGCUAAAACCGUUUACCGACGAUGAAGAAUCCGCCGCUGAGGCGGAUUGGUAGGGGAGCGUUCCAAGGAUUGUGAAGGUGUAUUGUAAAGUAUGCUGGAGUGCUUGGAAGUGAGAAUGCCGGUAUGAGUAGCGUUUUGGUGUGUGAAUCACCAAUGCCGAAUGUCCAAGGUUUCCGAAGCAACGUUCGUCGACUUCGGGUAAGUCGGAUCUAAGGCGAGUCCGUUAAUACGGAGUAGCUCGAUGUAUAUGCAGUUCAUAUUCUGCAACUAUGUAUAUAUGUCAAAGACACUAAGGAGUGACAGGGUGAGAUAGUUCCAGCCUCGUGUUGAUGUGAGGUUUAAGCGUGCGAAGUAGUUUUGAGUGGAAAAUCCCUCGGAAUGUUUAACUCAGCCGCAAAUACAAUCCCACGAUUUAUCAAGGGAGAGUGGAAGCCUAUUUUACUUUCAGGAAAAAUUUCGUAGUGAAUAUAUAUGUAUCCGUACCGCAAACCGACACAGGUGGACUGGUAGAGAAUACCAAGGCAAUCGGGUAAUGGUAGCUUAAGGAACUCGGCAACAAAAACUAGGCGUAAGCUAUGCAAGAUGCCUUGCCGCCUCUUUUGGCGGCUGCAAUUAACGAUAUCAAGCGACUGUUUAACUAAAACACAGCUCUCUGCAAAGCCGUAAGGCAACGUAUAGGGGGUGACACCUGCCCAAUGCUCGUAGGUCAAGAUUGGCGACUGAGAUUAUAUCAAGGUUGUUCCUCAAGCCCGAGUGAAUGGCAGCAGUAACUAUGAAGCAAGUUUGUAGUUGUAAAACCGAGCUAAAUGCUGGAAUAUCCGUACCGUACAAACGGUUGAAGUAUCUGUCGCUACCUAGUACGAUAUGUAUUAGGUGACAAUGUGAACAGUGCGGACAAUCAGCAGGAAAGACUUAUAAAGGAAAAUUUAGGAUUUUUCUUAGCAGGAUUUGUAGAAGGUGAAGGAAGUUUUAAUAUUUCUUUACGAAAGAAGAUAGAUUACAAAGUAAGUUGGCAAGUAGUACUUAGUUUCAAUGUUUCUCAAAAAGAUCCAACGAUUCUAAAAUUGCUACAAAACCAACUGCAAUGUGGAAUUAUUAAGGUUCGUAAAAGAGACGGUCUUCAUUCAUUUGAUGUUACAAAUCCAAAAGAUAUAAUUCAAAAAGUUAUUCCAUUUU
rnacentral:rRNA from 1 species